UCACUGCUGAGGAGUUCCACAAUAGGACGAAACGGCCGUCCAGUGC
rfam:Schistosoma rodhaini strain Burundi genome assembly, scaffold: SROB_scaffold0000498